GCCUCGGUAGCGCAGAAGGCAGCGCGUCGGUCUCAUAAUCUGAAGGCCGUGAGUUCGAUCCUCACCCGGGGCA
rnacentral:tRNA from 1 species